rnacentral:rRNA from 1 species
GAUCCUGGCUUAGGAUGAACGCUAGCUACAGCUAACACAUGCAAGUCGAGGGCAGCGAGAAGGAAGCUUGCUUCUUGUCGGCGACCGGCGCACGGUGAGUAACGCGUAUCCAACCUUCCCUUAGUAGGGCAUAGCCCGUAGAAAUGCGGAUUAAUACCCUAUGUUAUUCGUCGAGGACAUCUGAAGUGAAUCAGAGGUUUACCGCUAAGGGAUGGGGAUGCGUCUGAUUAGGCAGCAGGCGGGGUAACGGCCCACCUGGCCUACGAUCAGUAGGGGUUCUGAGAGGAAGGUCCCCCACAUUGGAACUGAGACACGGUCCAAACUCCUACGGGAGGCAGCAGUGAGGAAUAUUGGUCAAUGGGCGAGAGCCUGAACCAGCCAAGUAGCGUGCAGGAUGACGGCCCUAUGGGUUGUAAACUGCUUUUAUGCGGGGAUAAAGUGAGGGACGUGUCCCUUAUUGUAGGUACCGCAUGAAUAAGGACCGGCUAAUUCCGUGCCAGCCGCCGC